AACUUAGUAAUAAAAAUUAUGUUUUUUCUUUGCCAAUAAAAAAACAACUAUAUUUUAGGUUAGCGUAUCGUUUCAAUUAUUUUCCAGAAACCUCUUCUUCAAACUCUCGUAGAACUUUCUGUCUUCCAUUCAAUUUUUCAAAUUUGUUUUCCAAUUUCAUUCUUGUUUACCUCAUAAACCAAUUCCAAACAUAUUUUGAUUUUCACCUUAGAGUUUGAAUCGAUUUCCACCGUCGAAACCCAAAUCGGUUUUGACAUUCACCCCCAAAAUCGAUUUCGAAUUUGACCACCAAAAUUACUUUCGACUUUCAUCUCUAAAAUCGAUUUCGAAUUUGACCACCAAAAUUACUUUCGACCAUCAAAGUUCUUCCCUCUUUUUGUUAUCACUUGUCCUAACUCCGGCAGCUUGAUUGGAUGGAAGAUAGAUCUCUUGAUCAAGUAUUAAUAAUUGUAAAAGCUCACACAAACUCUUCCAGAUAGCUUAUUUAUUGAUGUUAAUAGAAGAUGUCCAGGAUAAAGAUAUACUAUAUAGAUGUUAUAGAAAAAUGUUAAUUAGGAUGGCUGAAUGAUUUAAGUCAUAUGAGUUUUAAUAUUGGAGUUCUACAUGUUUUAAGUUUGUUGUAGUUUUAAGAUUGGGUUUAAUUAGAUUGUAGUUUGAUGUUGUAGUUUUAUGAUUGUAAUAUUUGUUGAUGUACAUGAAUAAUGUUCUUUUGCAGUGUAUUUGUACAUAUAAUGACUUGAAGGUUUAA